CCUACGGGAGGCAGCAGUGGGGAAUAUUGCACAAUGGGCGAAAGCCUGAUGCAGCAACGCCGCGUGCGGGAUGAAGGCCUUAGGGUUGUAAACCGCUUUCAGCAGGGAAGAAAAUGACGGUACCUGUAGAAGAAGGUGCGGCCAACUACGUGCCAGCAGCCGCGGUGACACGUAGGCACCAAGCGUUGUCCGGAUUUAUUGGGCGUAAAGAGCUCGUAGGCGGUUCAGUAAGUCGGGUGUGAAAACUCUGGGCUCAACCCAGAGACGCCACCCGAUACUGCUGUGACUAGAGUGCGGUAGGGGAGCGGGGAAUUCCUAGUGUAGCGGUGAAAUGCGCAGAUAUUAGGAGGAACACCAGUGGCGAAGGCGCCGCUCUGGGCCGUAACUGACGCUGAGGAGCGAAAGCGUGGGUAGCAAACAGGAUUAGAUACCCUGGUAGUCCACGCCGUAAACGUUGGGCACUAGGUGUGGGUCUCAACCAACGAGAUCCGCGCCGUCGCUAACGCAUUAAGUGCCCCGCCUGGGGAGUACGGUCGCAAGGCUAAAACUCAAAGGAAUUGACGG
rnacentral:rRNA from 1 species